rnacentral:rRNA from 1 species
GAUGAACGCUGGCGGCGUGCCUAAUACAUGCAAGUCGAGCGAACGGACGAGAAGCUUGCUUCUCUGAUGUUAGCGGCGGACGGGUGAGUAACACGUGGAUAACCUACCUAUAAGACUGGGAUAACUUCGGGAAACCGGAGCUAAUACCGGAUAAUAUUUUGAACCGCAUGGUUCAAAAGUGAAAGACGGUCUUGCUGUCACUUAUACAUGGUUCCGCGCUGCAUUAGCUAGUUGGUAAGGUAACGGCUUACCAAGGCGACGAUGCAUAGCCGACCUGAGAGGGUGAUCGGCCACACUGGAACUGAGACACGGUCCAGACUCCUACGGGAGGCAGCAGUAGGGAAUCUUCCGCAAUGGGCGAAAGCCUGACGGAGCAACGCCGCGUGAGUGAUGAAGGUCUUCGGAUCGUAAAACUCUGUUAGUAGGGAAGAACAUAUGUGUAAGUAACUGUGCACAUCUUGACGGUACCUAAUCAGAAAGCCACGGCUAACUACGUG